UGCAGUCGACGAGAUGGCCCAGUGAAGGUUGCGUGCUUGCACAAGACUGAAUCUGGAUCACCAUCUAGUGGCAGACGGGUGAGUAACACGUGGGUGACCUACCUUUUCGUUGGGGAUAACAGUUGGAAACGAUUGCUAAUACCGAAUAAAAUAUAAGAGCCAAUUUUAUAUUGAAAGGAGCCUUUAAAGCUUCGCGAUUAGAUGGGCCUGCGGCGUAUUAACUUGUUGGUGAGGUAACGGCUCACCAAGGUAACGAUGCGUAGCCGAACUGAGAGGUUGAUCGGCCACACUGGGACUGAGACACGGCCCAGACUCCUACGGGAGACAGCAGUUAGGAAUAUUCGUCAAUGGGGGAAACCCUGAACGAGCAAUGCCGCGUGAGUGAUGACGGUCCUUUGGAUUGUAAAACUCUGUUGUAUGGAAAAAAUGACUAGGUUAGGAAAUGAACCUAGUGUGAUGGUACCAUACCAGAAAGCCCCGGCUAACUACGUGCCAGCAGCCGCGGUAAUACGUAGGGGGCAAGCGUUAUCCGGAUUUAUUGGGCGUAAAGCGUGUGUAGGCGGUUUGUUAAGUUUAAGAUUAAAGCCUGGGGCUCAACUCCAGUUCGUCUUAAAAACUGGCAGACUAGAGUACGGUAGAGGCAAACGGAAUUUCUAGUGUAGCGGUGAAAUGCGUAGAUAUUAGAAGGAACACCAGUGGCGAAAGCGGUUUGCUGGGCCGUUACUGACGCUGAGGCACGAAAGCGU
rnacentral:rRNA from 1 species